UUGUAAACACAUUUCCUAAUCAAGGUAUCUUUACAUUCUUCCUUCCCCUAUUUACUAUACUUUCAUGAUGCAUUUCAUUUGGUGUUUAAUUGAUAUGAUUGUAACAUCAACUAUGAAUUUAAUAGUGAUAUUUUACCUGUUUAUCAAAUGUGCUUGAAGAUCUUUAGGAGAAAUGUAAAAAGAUGGUGUGGAAUUCUGAUUCAUGUCAAAUGUUUCAGUGAUUAUGUGCUAAAUAUUCGCUGUAUGGUAACGGUUUAUAUUAUCUUAGUAGACUAUAUGUUACUUACUGUCCAAUUUGAGUUUAUGUAGUGUUAUCCUGUUCUCGUCAUUUGGGAGUUCGCAGUUAUAUCAAGAGAACAAGGGACCAAGGAAACUUGAGUAUAUUAUGCUCCCUCAUUGCUUUGUCAUAUAUGAUACAAAUUGAGAAGAACUAUACGGAGCACUGAUUCAGGAAGAGAAAGUGUUGCCAAACUUUCUUAGCUUUUAAAAUGGUUUGGUGUUGUGAAGGGAUGGCGAGAUGCUAAGCUUGAAGGAAUGAAAAUGUAAAAGUUAGAUCAUGCAUUGGCAGUGCCUGGAAUGUGAAACCUACCCUUGGUAAAGGAGACCUCAGUCAUCUAUGGAGAUGCAGGACACUCCUUUGAUCAUUAUUAGACCAUCAGUGAUUUGUUAUAGAGAAAGAAUAGUUUCUUGUCAAUCAGAAUCUUGCCUAAGUCCUGGGAACCAAAGCCCCUUUUUCUGUUCCAGGGCUAGAAGGGUGCAUUUCAAACUGAGCCAACCUUCUCUGGGGCAAAACAUUUUUGUUAUCAUGCAGCCAUUAGAGAACAGUGCAAAUUACUGAUUGCCUUAGAAUGAAAGGAUGAAACUGUCACAAUUGCUGCUGUUUCCUAGAGUUAUGAAAGCUAUUGCUUACAAUGAUCCAUGCACACUGCAUAACUGUUGGCAUCACAUCUGACUAAGUGAUAGUUUGAUUAUGAGGAUCCUGUUAGAAUCCAAACUGCAGCGGUUCUCCAGGUGAUAAGAUGUGUUGUCUGGUCUCAGAUUCUUGUGAGACUUAGAUACCUAAAAUCUGGACUUGCAACACUCUUGAUAUACUGGACUGGAAUUAUGAGUUUAUAACAUAUCUUGUCCAUAGCAUACCCCAGGGAAAAUGUGAUGAAUUCUUGGAGCAAAAUGCAUCUCUAGAUCUAGCCAUAUAACUUUCCCAAUGUAGUUAUAGUAAAAUAUGUAAGGGAAAUCCGACCAACAUUUAUCCUUAUACUUUGGCAUGCAGUGAAAUUAUUUUGCGUAAUCUAGAAAGCUGA
rnacentral:misc_RNA from 1 species